AGUCAUAUGCAUCGUCUCAAGACUAAGCCAUGCAUGUCUAAGUAUAAAUGAUAUACAGUAAAACUGCGAAUGGCUCAUUAAAAUAGUUAUAGUUUAUUUGGUAAUCGAAUUUACAUGGAUAACCGUGGUAAUUCUAGAGCUAAUACAUGCUGUUAAGCCCGACUUUUGGGAAGGGCUGUAUUUAUUAGAUAACAGACCAAUAUUCCUCGUGACUAUUGUGGUGACUCAUAGUAACUGAUCGGAUCGCAUGGGCUUGCCCGCGACAAACCAUUCAAGUUUCUGCCCCAUCAGCUUUCGAUGGUAGUGUAUUGGACUACCAUGGCUUUUACGGGUAACGGAGGAUUAGGGUUCGAUUCCGGAGAGGGAGCCUGAGAAACGGCUACCACAUCUAAGGAAGGCAGCAGGCGCGUAAAUUACCCAAUACUGACUCAGUGAGGUAGUGACAAGAAAUAACGGGCCGGGGAUUUCCCCGGGACUGAAAUGAGUUUAAUUUAAACCCCUUUUCGAGGAUCCAUUGGAGGGCAAGUCUGGUGCCAGCAGCCGCGGUAAUUCCAGCUCCAAUAGCGUAUAUUAAAGUUGUUGCAGUUAAAAAGCUCGUAGUUGGAUUUCUGGCAGGGCGCCGAUGCCCGCUUGUUGCGUGUGCAGAGCGCCCUACCAUCCUUCUGUUAACUCUAAUAGGCAUUGAUUUGUCUGUAGAGGGCUCAGAUAUUUUACCUUGAGAAAAUUAGAGUGUUUCAGGCAGGCUUGCGCCGGAAUACAUUAGCAUGGAAUAAUAGAGUAGGACUUUUACCUCUUCUGUUGGUCUGAGGGGUUGAAGUAAUGAUUAAUAGGGAUAGUUGGGGGCAUUAGUACUUAACUGUCAGAGGUGAAAUUCUCGGAUUUGUUAAAGACUAACUUAUGCGAAAGCAUUUGCCAAGGAUGUUUUCAUUAAUCAAGAACGAAAGUUAGGGGAUCAAAGACGAUCAGAUACCGUCCUAGUCUUAACCAUAAACUAUGCCGACUCGGGAUCGGGAGCGAGAGUUAUCCGCUUUCGGCACCGUAUGAGAAAUCAAAGUCUUUGGGUUCUGGGGGGGAGUAUGGUCGCAAGGCUGAAACUUAAAGAAUUGACGGAAUGUCAUCACAGGCGUGCAGCUUGCUGCUCAGUUGACUCACACGGGGAAACUUAGCAGGUUCAGACUAGUGAGGGAUGAACGAUUGAAUAGCCUCUUUCUUGAAUCC
rnacentral:rRNA from 1 species